UACGUAGGGUGCGAGCGUUAAUCGGAAUUACUGGGCGUAAAGCGUGCGCAGGCGGUUCGUUGUGUCGGCGGUGAAAGCCCCGGGCUUAACCUGGGAAUUGCAUUCGAGACUGAAUAGCUAGGGUACGGUAGAGGGAAGUGGAAUUUCCGGUGUAGCGGUGAAAUGCGUAGAUAUCGGGAGGAACAUCCGUGGCGAAGGCGGC
rnacentral:rRNA from 1 species